AUUCGAAAAAACGAACACGUGGCGGCGGGCAUUUUAAUUGAAGAUAUAGGAAGAUGAAUUAAUUCAGCUGAAGUUUUUACUGAAGUUUUUACCUUCUCCAGACUUCAACUCAUUCGACAAUUCGAACGCCUUUCGACAAUUCGAACGAAUAUGACUUCCAGGGGGCGUGGCCUGGCAGCUCAUGGACACGGACAUGUGAGCCGUCAGCUCCGAUGAGGGUAGCUAGAAAAGCAGCGACUACAACCACAAUACUUACCCGAUUAGAGAUAUUCUAUUACCCCUGGGAAGCCGAACACCAUCAUGUCCCAGAGGGCACCUAAAAAAGCGAAAAUGUGACCAGCAGCACUCCAAAUCUCUUCACUAACACCUCCGC